rnacentral:rRNA from 1 species
GACGAACGCUGGCGGCGCGCCUAACACAUGCAAGUCGAACGAGAGAUGAGGAGCUUGCUCUUCAGAUCGAGUGGCGAACGGGUGAGUAACGCGUGAGGAACCUGCCUCAAAGAGGGGGACAACAGUUGGAAACGACUGCUAAUACCGCAUAAGCCCACGGCUCGGCAUCGAGCAGAGGGAAAAGGAGUGAUCCGCUUUGAGAUGGCCUCGCGUCCGAUUAGCUAGUUGGUGAGGUAAUGGCCCACCAAGGCAACGAUCGGUAGCCGGACUGAGAGGUUGAACGGCCACAUUGGGACUGAGACACGGCCCAGACUCCUACGGGAGGCAGCAGUGGGGAAUAUUGCACAAUGGGGGAAACCCUGAUGCAGCGACGCCGCGUGGAGGAAGAAGGUCUUCGGAUUGUAAACUCCUGUUGUUGAGGAAGAUAAUGACGGUACUCAACAAGGAAGUGACGGCUAACUACGUGCCAGCAGCCGCGGUAAAACGUAGGUCACAAGCGUUGUCCGGAAUUACUGGGUGUAAAGGGAGCGCAGGCGGGAGAACAAGUUGGAAGUGAAAUCCAUGGGCUCAACCCAUGAACUGCUUUCAAAACUGUUUUUCUUGAGUAGUGCAGAGGUAGGCGGAAUUCCCGGUGUAGCGGUGGAAUGCGUAGAUAUCGGGAGGAACACCAGUGGCGAAGGCGGCCUACUGGGCACCAACUGACGCUGAGGCUCGAAAGUGUCGUAGCAAACAGGAUUAGAUACCCUGGUAGUCCACACCGUAA